UACGGGGGGAGCAAGCGUUGUUCGGAUUUACUGGGCGUAAAGGGCGCGUAGGUGGCCCGCUAAGUCGAACGUGAAUCCCGACGCUCAACUCGGGAACUGCGUCCGAUACUGGCGGCUUGAAUCCGGGAGAGGGAUGCGGAAUUCCAGGUGUAGCGGUGAAAUGCGUAGAUAUCAGGAGGAACACCGGUGGCGAAGGCGGUUCUCUGGGCAUUACCUGACGCUGAGGAGCGAAAGUGUGGGGAGCGAACAGG
rnacentral:rRNA from 1 species